rnacentral:rRNA from 1 species
GUAGGGAAUAUUGGGCAAUGGAGGCAACUCUGACCCAGCCAUGCCGCGUGAAGGAAGACGGUCCUAUGGAUUGUAAACUUCUUUUAUCAUAGAGUAACCGCAGGGACGUGUCCCUGCCUGCAAGUAUAUGAUGAAUAAGCAUCGGCUAACUCCGUGCCAGCAGCCGCGGUAAUACGGAGGAUGCAAGCGUUAUCCGGAUUUAUUGGGUUUAAAGGGUGCGCAGGCGGACCGGUAAGUCAGGGGUGAAACUUUACAGCUUAACUGUAAACGUGCCUUUGAUACUGCCGGACUAGAGUUUAAGAGACGUAAUUGGAAUGUGAUGUGUAGCGGUGAAAUGCUUAGAUAUAUCACAGAACGCCGAUCGUGAAGACAGAUUACGAACUUAAUACUGACGCUCAUGCACGAAAGCGUGGGGAUCAAACAGGAUUAGAUACCCUAGUAGUCC